rnacentral:rRNA from 1 species
GAUCAACUCGGUACUCCGAAUGCUCUAGAUUAGACGUUUGAUCAUGGCUCAGANUGAACGCUGGCGGCAAGCCUAACACAUGCAAGUCGAACGGUAACAGGAAGCAGCUUGCUGCUUCGCUGACGAGUGGCGGACGGGUGAGUAAUGUCUGGGAAACUGCCUGAUGGAGGGGGAUAACUACUGGAAACGGUAGCUAAUACCGCAUAACGUCGCAAGACCAAAGAGGGGGACCUUCGGGCCUCUUGCCAUCGGAUGUGCCCAGAUGGGAUUAGCUAGUAGUGGGGUAACGGCUCACCUAGGCGACGAUCCCUAGCUGGUCUGAGAGGAUGACCAGCCACACUGGAACUGAGACACGGUCCAGACUCCUACGGGAGGCAGCAGUGGGGAAUAUUGCACAAUGGGCGCAAGCCUGAUGCAGCCAUGCCGCGUGUAUGAAGAAGGCCUUCGGGUUGUAAAGUACUUUCAGCGGGGAGGAAGGCGAUAAGGUUAAUAACCUUGUCGAUUGACGUUACCCGCAGAAGAAGCACCGGCUAACUCCGUGCCAGCAGCCGCGGUAAUACGGAGGGUGCAAGCGUUAUCCGGAAUUACUGGGGNGUAAAGAGGCAGCAAGGGGGGCUGNNCAAGUNCGGNUUUGUAAAAUACCCCCGGGGGNUCAAAACCUGUGGAAACNCUGCGUUUUCCAAAAACNNUGGCGAGGGCAUAAAAGCCUUNUGUAGAAGGGGGGGGGACACAUCCCGGAGGUUACCCGGGGAAAAACUGUAAGAACUNUGGGANAACACGGGAAAANGGCCUUAAAAANAUCACACAUC